AACGAACGCUGGCGGCACGCCUAACACAUGCAAGUCGAACGAGAGCAUAUCUUCGGGUAUGUUUCUAGUGGCGGACGGGUGAGUAACGCGUGGGUAUCUGCCUCAAGGUGGGGGAUAACUGUUGGAAACGACAGCUAAUACCGCAUGAUCCCGUAAGGGCAAAGAUUUAUCGCCUUGAGCGGAGCCCGCGUCGGAUUAGGUAGUUGGUAGGGUAACGGCCUACCAAGCCGAUGCUCCGGAACUGGUCUGAGAGGAUGACCAGUCACACUGGGACUGCGACACGGCCCAGACUCCUACGGGAGGCAGCAGUGGGGAAUCUUGGACAAUGGGGGCAACCCUGAUCCAGCGAUGCCGCGUGAGUGAAGAAGGCCUUAGGGUUGUAACGCUCUUUCCUCCGUGAAGAUAAUGACGUUAGCGGGAGAAGAAGCCCCGGCUAACUCCGUGCCAGCCGCCGCCGUAACAC
rnacentral:rRNA from 1 species